rfam:Oryza barthii chromosome 11, whole genome shotgun sequence.
AAUAAGUGCAGUUUUGCACUGUUCAUGUCUAACGUUUAACCGCUUGUCUUAUUUGAAAACUUUUUAUGAUUAGUACUUUUAUUGUUAUUUAGAUGAUAAAACAUAAAUAAUAUUUUGUGUGUGACUAUUUUUAUAUUUUUUUAUAAAUUUUUUAAAUAAGAUGAACAGUCUAACGUUAGAUAUGGAUUCCCACGGCUGCACUUAUU